AUUGAACGCUGGCGGCAGGCUUAACACAUGCAAGUCGAGCGGUAACAUUUCUAGCUUGCUAGAAGAUGACGAGCGGCGGACGGGUGAGUAAUGCUUGGGAAUAUGCCUUGAAGUGGGGGACAACAGUUGGAAACGACUGCUAAUACCGCAUAAUGUCUACGGACCAAAGGGGGGGAUCUUCGGACCUCUCGCUUCUAGAUUAGCCCAAGUGAGAUUAGCUAGUUGGUGAGGUAAAGGCUCACCAAGGCGACGAUCUCUAGCUGGUUUGAGAGGAUGAUCAGCCACACUGGGACUGAGACACGGCCCAGACUCCUACGGGAGGCAGCAGUGGGGAAUAUUGCACAAUGGGGGAAACCCUGAUGCAGCCAUGCCGCGUGUGUGAAGAAGGCCUUCGGGUUGUAAAGCACUUUCAGUUGUGAGGAAAGGUUAAAUUUUAAUAGAGUUUAACUGUGACGUUAACAACAGAAGAAGCACCGGCUAACUUCGUGCCAGCAGCCGCGGUAAUACGAGGGGUGCAAGCGUUAAUCGGAAUUACUGGGCGUAAAGCGUUCGUAGGCGGUUAUUUAAGCAAGAUGUGAAAGCCCAGGGCUCAACCUUGGAACUGCAUUUUGAACUGGGUAACUAGAGUACUGUAGAGGGUGGUGGAAUUUCCAGUGUAGCGGUGAAAUGCGUAGAGAUUGGAAGGAACAUCAGUGGCGAAAGCGGCCACCUGGACAGAUACUGACGCUGAGGAACGAAAGCGUGGGGAGCGAACAGGAUUAGAUACCCUGGUAGUCCACGCCGUAAACGAUGUCAACUAGCCGUUUGUGUCCUUGAGACGUGAGUGGCGCAGCUAACGCACUAAGUU
rnacentral:rRNA from 1 species